UGGCGCGAAACCGGAUCUGACGUUACCAUAGGGAGGUACUCCCUGCCCCUAGACAGGUACUGUUGUAGCUAGGGAAAGAUCCGACGAUUCCUCGGCCUUGUCCCCAGCCUUUACUUGCCUAUGUUCUACUCGGUACCCUCACCGCAGUCGCCGGCCUUGUUUGAGUUACGCCUUCUCUGCGCGGUGUGGUGAUAGGCGACAGCCAGGUUAAAUUCAUGUGCAGGAGUCGCCUUCACUUGAAAACAUCCGUCGAGACCUGCACAUUUAGUUUUGGUGGUUUUGACGCUGUGCGAAUGGCUGAGGCCGUCUCUGCGAUGCACUUUCAGCGCGUAGACUGUCGUUUUGUACGUUGGUGGUAACGACGUUUGCAGUGCCAACGCGGACCCUCAAGAUAUAUGCGACAAUAUAGGGAAGUUCUGCAACUGCAGCACGAUGUGGCCCCCGUGGUGUAUACGUCUUCAAAGUGCUGCCACGUUGCUCCAGCUCUGAAGACGCCGAUGCGGAGCGCCAGAUCAAGAAAACGCGCUUGCUGAACCGCAAGCUGACGGCUACGCUGAAACGCCUGCCGUGUGUUCGAAUCUUGAACGCCGAGCAUGUUGGUCUUCAUUCGAGAGCUGUCUCACCUUUGGAUGUACAGAGGCAUCCACUUCCACCUUGAGCACCGCACCGUGCAGCCAACGCUCCGCGGAGCGUCUCUCGCGGGCGGCUGGGGCACGCAAGCGCAGUGACAACUGUAGGUGGUGCCUUCGCCGCGUCGUCUGCUAAAGCGCAGCGGCUCCGCCCAAUCGCGCUUGCUCUUCGAUGAAGGUAACUUAAUCUCAUGGAAAUCGAGAAGCGCAGCGACUGCGCCUCGUUCCGCACUGCUUUUUUACCUACUGUUUUCUUUUUCUGCAUGCGAUCUUAAAAGUAAUAAACCUUGGCCCGUGCAUAAGAUCGCCAAGCCGGGCUGGCACUCCCGCAACUAAGCUACUCAGAUGCUUUGUGCCGUACAGUUAGAAUAUUCCCGCUACUCACACGGUUGUUUUCAUCAGCUGAAAGUUUGGCGACACAAAGUCAACAAUAAAAAAAUAUUGCGCUGUGAAUUGAAGGCUCACGGAAAACUUUCUGCUUCGUGCUAAAGUUUUGAGCCAAGAAAUAUAUAAAGCGAUACGCGGUGCUUUGGGUCACCUAGCGAUAAAAAGGGAGUCAAGCUUUAUUCAGCGCCUGCUUACAGAAGUAAUCAUUUGUCAGCGGCGCUUCUUUGGUGAACUGAUUGCGUGAUAUGAGUUCAGCUGAAAACUCUAUUAGAAUGCUUCUUCAUUUUUCUGCAUGAAUGGUACGAAUAAGCAUGGUUGCAAAUGAGUAGCAAAUUAGGGCGGCGUAUUGGCGAGUUAAAUUCGCUAGCGCAUGAAGGCAGCAGUGCUGAUAACACCUGAAUGUAAUGUAACUUCUCUGAAAUUGGCAAAUUGCUCACAUCCUUUUGUUUUCAGGCGAGUAACAAUCCAAACUUUCGCACAUUUAAAGCUGUUAUGUCAG